ACCGAGUCCAGAUGAUGUAGCCUAUAAAA
rnacentral:piRNA from 1 species